ensembl:lncRNA
UUUAAUUAUAAUAAUAGGGCUUUGAUUGCCUCUUCAUGUUCUAAGUCUUAAUGCCAUGGCUUUCUUAAAAUACAGUGGACAAGCAAUGAUAGAAAAUUCAGGCCUUUUUUUUUUUCCCUCCAGCAUCCUGAAGUACCCAUUAAUUGUUGUAAUUCUUUUCUAGAUUGGGGCAUUUAUGAUUGAUUGCAUGUGAUUGAUUGAGAGUGGGUUCUAGAUAUAAUUUGCCAUUUUUUGAAAUCUGCAAUUAUUUCAGAAAUAGCAGUCCCUGUUGCAGCAGACCAACUGAAAAUGUAAGGUCAUCAAGCCAGUGAUCAGCAUCUACUUGCCAGACAGCUAGGCCCAAUUGCUGUCCAGGCUUGAUUAGCCUUUUGGAUCUGUGUUCUGCAUCUGAUUCCCAUGAAGAGGAAAAGGGCAAUUUCUUUCCCUGGGAGACACUCAUCACAGCAGAAAAUUCCUGCAAGAAGAUGCCCCCACUGGAGCUAACAAGGGUUUUACCAGUAACAAUGAGCCCCUUCCCUUCUGGCUGGCUGACAAAACUGCGAUCAUUGCAGGAUAGAGCCCACCUUUGCACUCACACUCAGCUCUCAGACACUAUCUCCAAUCCAGCACUGUGUUCCAGUAGCAUGCUGUCCCUUCCAAAAUGCUCAGCAUGUCAUUUGUUACACACUGGUUCCACUUUUGCCACCAGCGAUAAAUAGCACAUGCCACUACCCAGGUGGAUCCUGCCUUGGCUCGGAGAUGAACUGGCAAAUGUGGGAAUCACCCAAGGCCACCAGUUUUAGAUGCAGCUGGAAGGAGAUUUAACCAGAUGCCUCCAGUCACCCUUGUUGCAGAAAAAGCACAAAACCACUUCUGAUGAUGUUGUACAUUUGAGAGAAAACACCUGCUAUCAGGCAGUGAGAGAUUCUCCUCUCCAUUCAGCAAAGCCACUACUUUUAAAAACAUCAAGAACAAAUACCUAGACAGGAUCGCAAAAUCACAGAAUGAUUUGGGUUGGAAGGGACCUUAAAGACUGUCUAGUGACAACCUCCACUGUACUUCAAAGCCAAUACUCAGCAUGUGUUUUGUGCCUGUAAGUGCUGCUGCCUGCAGGGCUCCCACAAGUAGUUUUCAGACCACAUGGCAUUCAAGUUUCAUGAACAUUAUAACAUACCCAGCUUAAUGCCAUCUCUUCUUAAGGAAUCAAACAGCAGGAAGUUCUUCAUUCAGCAGAGACCAGCUCUGAAUGCCACUGCAGAACCACAAACUGAAAGGCAAACCUUGAGUGGCUGGGAGUUAGUGCCAGCUCUGGCAGUAGAAUGAGCUCAAGCACACUGCAAAAUUCCUAGGGUUGUCGAGCCGCAGCACAUUGACACUGCUGCUUGCCAGUCCCACUGUGUAGCAAUAGAGCUGCAUAAUGCUGAACUCCUUUUUAUUUUUUUAUUUCUAUUUUAUUUUUUUUGGGGGGGGGGGGAUGUUACAUACUGGCUCACAUGUUCUUGCACUACACAACAUGAAGACUCAGUGGAAGCAGCAUGAACAGGGUCCCUUUGUGCUUUUUCACUUUGUCACCCUGCUCAGGCUCGGAGAGCACUGACUGCAACAACCUUGAUAGCAUUACAGCUUGGCUUGUCUGGUGUGCUUGUUUUUGGAAGCCGAGCACCAAUGUCGUAUGGCACAAGAAAAGGGACAGCAGCAAUGACAUCUGCAGUUUCACUCUUAAAGCUUGACCACCAUGCUGAGGGGCCAACAUUCAUCAACGCUAGGAAUGGUGCAUUGUGUGGGAACAAAAUCUGCUGCCUGAACUCGUGCUUUCUUCUGGCUGCAGAGCUGUCCAAGCUCAGCCACUUGCUCAGGAAUAUCAGUGUCUAAGUUUCAGCUGGGAUGGAAUUGUUUUCUUCAGAGUGCCUGGUAUGAUACUGUGUUUUUGUUCUAAGAGAAAACCACUGCUGAUAACACACCAAUGUUUACAGCGGCUGCUAAGCAGUGCUGCACAAAGCCAAGACCAUUUGCAGCAAGGAGCCCAAGGAGCUGGGAGGGAACAGAGUGAGGACAGCUGACUUAGAUUGUCCAAAGGGACAUUCCAUGCCAUAUGGCAUCAUGUGGAAGGAGUUUUGAAGGGGGUGGGAGUGCAUCGCACUCUCUUCCGCUGCUCGGGGGCUAGCUGGGCAUUGGCUGGGGAGUGGUGAGCAAUUGCUUGUGCGUCAUCUGUUAUACAUAUAUAUAUACUUGUCAUAAUUAUUAUCCUUUUCCUUUUCUCUAGAUUAGUAAAUAAUUUUAUCUCAGCACAUGAGUUCUAUGUUGGUUUUUUUUUUUUUCCCCCGAUUCUUUCCUCUAUCCCACUAGGAAGGGUGGGAGUGAGCAAAUGACUGUGUAGUGCUCAGCUACUUUCUGAGUUAACUCACAACAGCAACAUUCAUGAAUCCAACUAUUUUAUUGCUGCUGCUACAGUAGAGUUCCA